AUUCCACCAGUUACUCUGUGUCAUUUGGAAGGGCGGAGAGCCAUGUCUGCACUUACCCGAGUCCUCCGACAGUGACAGGUUUUCAAGCUUCUGCUUGUUGGCUUUCGCUUGGAUGAUGACCAAGAGAUCACCAACUGGGACAAGGCAGGCGUUCGUAGCUGUGUAUAAUUAAAUAGAUGCUCUGUAUUUCUAUGGACUGAUGAUUAGUAGGAAUUAAGAGUAAAAUGGUGUGGAAUCAUAAAUGGAGAACGUGGUGGAAGCGGAGUUGAGUUGGGAAAGAAACAGGUUGCAACUGUAUGACUGGUAACAAGGAUUGACCAACACCAACUGUAUGACUGGUAACAAGGAUUGACCAACACCAACUGUAUGACUGGUAACAAGGAUUGACCAACACCAACUGUAUGACUGGUAACAAGGAUUGACCAACACCAACUGUAUGACUGGUAACAAGGAUUGACCAACACCAACUGUAUGACUGGUAACAAGGAUUGACCAACACCAACUGUAUGACUGGUAACAAGGAUUGACCAACACCAACUGUAUGACUGGUAACAAGGAUUGACCAACACCAACUGUAUGACUGGUAACAAGGAUUGAUGAAAACCAACUGUAUGACUGGUAACAAGGAUUGACCAACACCAAUGCAGACUGAUUCAUAUUUAUGAAGAAAGGUCCAUACAUUUUAUGACAAGAGCUAUUAUUGUAAGUUAAGAGUAAAUCCAAUACAG